rnacentral:tRNA from 1 species
GGCGCUAAUCCGCUUGGUGCGGGGCGUGUCUGCAAAACACGCUGAUCGCGAGUUCGAAUCUCGGUAGCGCCU